rnacentral:lncRNA from 1 species
AGGGUUAGGGUUGGAGCUAGGGUUAGGGUUAGGGUUAGGGUUGGAACUAGGGUUAGGUCUAGGGUUAGGGUUGGAGCUAGGGUUAGGGUUAGGGUUAGGGUUGGAGUUAGGGUUAGGGUUAGGGUUGGAGUUAGGGUUGGUGCUAGGGUUAGGGUUGGAGCUAGGGUUAGGGUUAGGGUUAGGGUUGGAGUUGGAGUUAGGGUUCGAGCUAGGGUUAGGGUUAGGGUUAGGGUUGGAGCUAGGGUUAGGGUUAGGGUUGGAGUUAGGGUUGGAGCUAGGGUUUGGGUUAGGGUUAGGGUUGGAGCUAGGGUUAGAGUUAGGGUUGGAGUUAGGGUUGGAGUUAGGGUUGGAGCUAGGGUUAGGGUUGGAGUUAGGGUUGGGGUUAGGGUUAGGGUUGGAGUUAGGGUUGGAGCUAGGGUUAGGGUUAGGGUUAGGGUUAGGGUUAGGGUUAGGGUUGGAGUUAGGGUUGCAGCUAGGGUUAGGGUUGGAGCUAGGGUUAGGGUUAGGGUUGGAGUUAGGGUUAGGGUUAGGGUUAGGGUUUGAGUUAGGGUUAGGGUUGGAGCUAGGGUUAGGGUAAGGGUUAGGGUUGGAGCUAGGGUUAGGGUUAGGGUUAGGGUUUGAGCUAGGGUUAGGGUUAGGGUUAGGGUUAGGGUUGGAGUUAGGGUUAGGGUUAGGGUUAGGGUUGGAGUUAGGGUUGCAGCUAGGGUUAGGGUUAGGGUUAGGGUUGGAGCCAGGAUUAAGGUUAGGGUUAGGGUUGGAGUUAGGGUUAGGGUUAGGGUUGGAGCUAGGGUUAGGGUUAGGGUUAGGGUUGGAGCUAGGGUUAGGGUUAGGGUUAGGGUUAGGGUUUGAGUUAGGAUAUAGGGGUAUGUGCCACUUUUGACAUGCCGGUUCAUUGCCUUUCCCAUUGAUGAACCGGGCUGAGAUUUGGUCUACCCCCCCAUUUUCGGGUAUGCUGAAUCUAGAAAUAGUAAUGAACCAGCGAUCGGACAUUCCUAUCAAAAGUUAUGGCGAAGUGAAAAUUUCCCAUUGAAAAUGAAUGGGAGCGGAAAAAUGGCCAAAGUCAGUGUUUGCAAGUGUUGUACUUGUCUGGAAAUGUUGAAAAUGCAUUGUGAGCACGUUUCAGGCCAUUUCCUGUCAUUUGAGGGCGACUUUGCAAAAAGGGGUGUCAUACCGCUUUUGACCAGAGGUGGCGCUGCACCAGUUCGAGGGUUAGGGUUAGGGUGAGACUUAGGGCUAGGGGUUAGGGUUAGGGCUGGAGCUAUGGUUAGGGUUAGGGUUAGGGUUAAGGUUGGAACUAGGGUUAGGGUUAAGGUUAGGGUUGGAAAAAUCUUCCACCCCCAACAUGCAAGUUUCAGCGCUCUACGACCUACAAAAUGCAUAUAGCUAUCCCUAACCCUAACCCUAACUCCAACCCUAACCCUAACCCUAGCUCCAACCCUAACCCUAGCUGCAACCCUAACUCCAACCCUAACCCUAACCCUAACCCUAGCUCCAACCCUUACCCUAACCCUAGCUCCAACCCUAACUCCAACCCUAACCCUAACCCUAACCCUCGCUCCAACCCUAACUCCAACCCUAACCCUAACCCUAACCCUAGCUCCAACCCAAACCCAAACCCUAACCCUAGCUCCAACCCUAACUCCAACCCUAACCCUAACGCUAACUCCAACCCUUACCCUAACCCUAACUCCAACACUAACCCUAACCCCAACCCUUGCUCCAACCCUAACCCUAACCCUAAACAUAGCUCCAACCCUAACCCUAACCCUAGCUCAAACCCUAACUCCAACCCUAGCUCCAACCCUAACUCCAACCCUAACCCUAACCCUAACCCUAACUCCAACCCUAACCCUAACCCUAACCCUAACCCUAGAUGCAACCCUAACUCCAACCUUAACCCUAACCCUAGCUCCAACCCUAACCCUAACCCUAGCUGCAACCCUAACUCCAACCCUAACCCUUACCCUAACCCUAGCUCCAACCCUAACCCUAACCCUAACUCCGACCCUAACCCUAACCCUAACCCUAGCUCCAACCCUAACCCUAACCCUAGCUCAACCCUAACCCUAACCCUAACCCUAGCUGCAACCCUAACCCUAACCCUAGCUGCAACCCUAACUCCAACCCUAACCCUUACCCUAACCCUAGCUCCAACCCUAACCCUAACUCCGACCCUAACCCUAACCCUAACCCUAGCUCCAACCCUAACCCUAACCCUAGCUCAACCCUAACCCUAACCCUAAGCCUAGCUGCAACCCUAACCCUAACCCUAACCCUUGCUCCAACCCUAAACCUAACCCUAACCCUAGCUGCAACCCUAACUCCAACCUUAACCCUAACCCUAACCCUAGUCCAACCCUAACCCUAACCCUAACCCUAGCUCCCACCCUAACUCCAACCCUAACCCUAACCCUAACCCUAUCUCCUACCCUAACCCUAACCCUAGCUCCAACCCUAACCCUAACCCUAGCUGCCACCCUAACUCCAACCCUAUCCCUAACACUAACCCUAUCUCCUACCCUAACCCUAACCCUAGCUCCAACCCUAACCCUAACCCUAGCUGCAACCCUAACUCCAACCCUAACCCUUACCCUAACCCUAGCUCCAACCCUAACCCUAACCCUAAACCUAGCUCCAACCCUAACCCUAACCCUAACCCUAGCUCCCACCCUAACUCCAACCCUAACCCUAACCCUAACCCUAGCUCCAACCCUAACUCCAACCCUAACCCUAACCCUAGCUCCAACACUAACCCUUACCCUAACCCUAGCUCCAACCCUAACCCUAACUCCAACCCUAACCCUAACCCUAACCCUAACUCCAACCCUAACCCUUACUUUAACUCCAACCCUAACCCUAACCCUAACCCUAGCUCCAACCCUAACCCUAACCCUAGCUCAACCCUAACCCUAACCCUAACCCUAGCUGCAACCCUAACUCCAACCAUAACCCUAACCCUAACCCUAACUCCAACCCUAACCCUAACUCUAGCUCCAACCCUAACCCUAACCCUAACCCUAGCUCCAACCCUAAAUCCAACCCUAACCCUAACCCUAGCUCCAACCCUAACCCUAAUCCUAGCUCCAACCCUAACCCUAACUCCAACCCUAACCCUAACCCUAACCCUAACUCCAACCCUAACCCUAACCCUAACCCUAACUCCAACCCUAACCCUAACUCCAACCCUAACCCUAACCCUAACCCUAGCUCCAACCCUAACCCUAACCCUAACCCUAACCCUAGCUGCAACCCUAACUCCAACCCUAACCCUAACCCUAACCCUAGCUCCAACCCUAACCCUAACUCCAACCCAACCCUAACUCCAACCCUAACCCUAACCCUAGCUCCAACCCUAACCCUAACCCUAACCCUAGCUGCAACCCUAACCCCCACACUAACCCUAACCCUAACCCUAGCUCCAACCCUAACCCUAACCCUAGCUCCAACCCUGACUCCAACCCUAACCCUAAUCCUAACCCUAGCUCCAACCCUAACCCUAGCUCCAACCCUAACUCCAACCCUAACCCUAACCCUAACCCUAACCCUAGCUCCAACCCUAACCCUAACCCUAACCCUAGCUCCAACCCUAACUCCAACUCCAACCCUAACCCUAACCCUGACCCUAGCUCCAACCCUGACCCUAACCCUAACCCUGGCUCCAAUCCUAACCCUAACCCUAGCUGCAACCCUAACUAAC